CCCUAGCCCGGAUGGGAGUGGCAUCCUCUUGGGGCGGGGUUCGACCCAAGAGAUACAACGGACAGCCGGAAAUAGC
rnacentral:sRNA from 1 species